GAUGAAGAACGUAGCGAAAUGCGAUAAGUAAUGUGAAUUGCAGAAUUCAGUGAAGCAUCGAAUCUUUGAACGCACAUUGCGCCCGUCAGUAUUCUGGCGGGCAUGCCUGUUCGAGCGUCAUUACGCCCCUCAAGUCCCCUGUGGACUUGGUGUUGGGGAUCGGCGAGGCUGGUUUUCCAGCACAGCCGUCCCUUAAAUUAAUUGGCGGUCUCGCCGUGGCCCUCCUCUGCGCAGUAGUAAAACACUCGCAACAGGAGCCCGGCGCGGUCCACUGCCGUAAAACCCCCCAUCUUUUUAUAGUUGACCUCGAAUCAGGUAGGACUACCCGCUGAACUUAAGCAUAUCAAUAAGCGGAGGA
rnacentral:misc_RNA from 1 species